CAAUAGCGUAUAUUAAAGUUGUUGCAGUUAGAACGCUCGUAGUCGGAUUUCGGGGCGGGCCGACCGGUCUGCCGAUGGGUAUGCACUGGUCGGCGCGUCCUUCCUUCCGGAGACCGUCCCUACUCUUAACUGAGCGGGGGCGGGAGACGGGACUUUUACUUUGAAAAAAUCAGAGUGUUCCAAGCAGGCAGCUCGCUCUUGCAUGGAUUAGCAUGGGAUAAUGAAAUAGGACUUUGGUGCUAUUUUGUUGGUUUCGAACACCGAAGUAAUGAUGAGAAGGGACAGUCAGGGGCACUCGUAUUCCGCCGAGAGAGGUGAAAUUCUCAGACCAGCGGAAGACGAACCACUGCGAAAGCAUUUGCCAGGGAUGUUUUCACUGA
rnacentral:rRNA from 1 species